UGAAAUUGUGAAUAGCAAUACGGGAGACCUGUUUUAAUUAGCUUAAAUGCAAAUCAGCUAUUUAAUGUCUACUGAAUGUAAAGACAAGUAGAAUUGUUUAUAAUUCUCUUUAAAUACGUGCAAACCAGGCAGCAAAUGCUGAUGAAUAAAAUAUUUAUAUUUAAUUUCAAACAAUUUAUUAAACCAAUAAACAGAAAGCAAAGUUUUACAGCCUCAUUUGGACGCCCACUGUGUUUUGCAGCAUUGGUGUCUCUACGACCACGAUUGAAGUCAGCAAACCAACGUUUUAUUGUGAUUUCUGAUGAUGCGGAGUCCCCAUAACACUUUUCAAGCCAUUGCUUCGCUUGAACGGUAUUUUUUCCCCAUCAAGAAGCAGUGUAAAAUUAAAACGCGAAACUUUUUAUCAUCCAUUGUUUUUAAAAUAACAAAUGUAGCGUUACUCUUACCACAAUAACUAGCAAACUAAUGAAUAGAAUGUCAUGAAAUUUCAACAGCUGUCUUUUGAAGAAAGGCUGUUCGUGCUAAAAUAUUGCUGAGCGAGCUGAGCGCUUGGAGUAAACGAAUUACGAUGCCAAUUGCAGUAAGUGAGUUACAUUGUUUCUUCAAAAUAUUACCAAACUCUUAAAUACUUGUGUUAUUUUCAACGAAAUUUCCUUUUUACCACAUUUCGAAGAGGAAGAAGUUAUUGCCAGUAUUUAUGUAAAUGAAUUUCUCAGCAGCUUCCAGUAUAAGGUAAGCGUAUGAAAAGGGAACGUGUGAUCAUGAAAAUUCUCCUGAGAUAACAAGAUGUACAACUCUCAUGUUACAGUUGACAGUUAAAAACUGUAACCGCCAGAUUGAACAAAGGUGCGGCUAACCGAAUUCAAAUAAUUUCUAAGAAAACUAAUGCACACACAUUGUAACUCAUUAACCAUUUAAGUCUGAAAGAGAUGACCGAGCACAUAUUCAUAAGAGUUUUGGGUAGUUUUAUCAACUCGGCCUUAAGAAAAUCAAUGAUACUGAAUCUCUGGUUGAGCGGUCUGAUAAUUAAAGUACAAUUAUACCGAUAGUUGACUCUCUGGAGAUAUUUCACAGAAGACAUGUUUUUAUUAUAUUUUAUUUUCUUAUUUAUUUAAAAUUUACUCUAAAAAUUCAUUUUUUCAUAUGAAUUACAUAUUUCUAAAAAAAGCCAGGG